CCAGACUCCUACGGGAGGCAGCAGUGGGGAAUAUUGCACAAUGGGCGCAAGCCUGAUGCAGCCAUGCCGCGUGUAUGAAGAAGGCCUUCGGGUUGUAAAGUACUUUCAGCAGUGAGGAAGGUGGUAGUGUUAAUAGCACUAUCAUUUGACGUUAGCUGCAGAAGAAGCACCGGCUAACUCCGUGCCAGCAGCCGCGGUAAUACGGAGGGUGCGAGCGUUAAUCGGAAUUACUGGGCGUAAAGCGCAUGCAGGUGGUUUGUUAAGUCAGAUGUGAAAGCCCGGGGCUCAACCUCGGAAUAGCAUUUGAAACUGGCAGACUAGAGUACUGUAGAGGGGGGUAGAAUUUCAGGUGUAGCGGUGAAAUGCGUAGAGAUCUGAAGGAAUACCGGUGGCGAAGGCGGCCCCCUGGACAGAUACUGACACUCAGAUGCGAAAGCGUGGGGAGCAAACAGGAUUAGAUACCCUGGUAGUCCACGCCGUAAACGAUGUCUACUUGGAGGUUGUGGCCUUGAGCCGUGGCUUUCGGAGCUAACGCGUUAAGUAGACCGCCUGGGGAGUACGGUCGCAAGAUUAAAACUCAAAUGAAUUGACGGGGGCCCGCACAAGCGGUGGAGCAUGUGGUUUAAUUCGAUGCAACGCGAAGAACCUUACCUACUCUUGACAUCCAUAGAACUUUCCAGAGAUGGAUUGGUGCCUUCGGGAACUAUGAGACAGGUGCUGCAUGGCUGUCGUCAGCUCGUGUUGUGAAAUGUUGGGUUAAGUCCCGCAACGAGCGCAACCCUUAUCCUUGUUUGCCAGCGAGUAAUGUCGGGAACUCCAGGGAGACUGCCGGUGAUAAACCGGAGGAAGGUGGGGACGACGUCAAGUCAUCAUGGCCCUUACGAGUAGGGCUACACACGUGCUACAAUGGCGCAUACAGAGGGCGGCCAACUUGCGAAAGUGAGCGAAUCCCAAAAAGUGCGUCGUAGUCCGGAUUGGAGUCUGCAACUCGACUCCAUGAAGUCGGAAUCGCUAGUAAUCGUAGAUCAGAAUGCUACGGUGAAUACGUUCCCGGGCCUUGUACACACCGCCCGUCACACCAUGGGAGUGGGCUGCAAAAGAAGUGGGUAGUUUAACCUUCGGGGGGACGCUCACCACUUUGUGGUUCAUGACUGGGGUGAAGUCGUAACAAGGUAGCGCUAGGGGAACCUGGCGCUGGAUCACCUCCUUAUACGAUGAU
rnacentral:rRNA from 1 species